UUGGUUUUAUGACGGUGAUAUCUCUUGGUGUUUCCUCCUUUUUUUUUCUAGAAAAAUCAAAUAAAAAGCUAAAGGGAUACGGCUGGAAAUCGGGGCGGAGUACGCAGUCGAAGUGAAAGUAUCUUUUUUUUUUUUUUCUAUCAUUGUUUGUAGACAUGGCCAAGGUGUUGAUGUCAAGGCUCAAGGUAAGUAUAUUUUUUUCUUUGACCACAUACUUGCUAAACCGCCGAAUCAUCCAUGAAUUAAAAAAGAAUGUGUAUACAAACUGGUUAUAUACAUAUAAGAUAAUCAUUUUUUUUCUCAUGCGCUAUUAAACUGCGAGGCGUGAAGCAGUCUCAUUCGAAGCAGAAACAAUCAUUCACUCAGUAAAAGUUCACGUCGUCAGUACCGGUCAGUACCAUGCACGAGCAUCAAACUGUAGAAAAAUUGCGUAAUGGCAAUCUAUCUGUGUGUUUCUAUGGCAGGACAACAAAAUAACAACCAAAAAUGUUUUUGUUUCUGGUUUUUUUACGAACCUACAGACCCAAUUCCAUAAAUAUGUGGGGAAAAAAAGGUAAAUAAAUAAUGCAUGGGGCAGUGCUGGGCACAUGUAAGAUACUGAAGCCAAAUUGGGCGGAUGGGACUUCUAAAAACGUAGCCCACGGGCAAGAAUCUCUCUUUCAAAUUUUGCUUUACGACAGCGACGACAAAGCAAUCUGUGGUGGAGACUUUGCUGUGUUAUUAAAUUGCAUAAGUGUCAUCCGGUUACGAACGUUACAGCAACUAGUCAUGUCUCUGAUUUGUCUUCGCGGCCUCAUAUUAUUCGCAACAAAACUUUCAAUGUGAUUUAUUACGUCGUCGGGGAAUGAAAAGGGAGAGAAAGUUUGCACCUGAAGAAGAAGAUUUCUAAACGUAUUCUAAAGUAACUAUUCGUCAGCAAGUUUCCACAGUAAACGUCUAGGUGUAAAACAUUCUCCUGCAUACCUAAAAAUGACGCAGUAAAGCUCUCAGAUGACAUCAUGGGAAAACACUUCGCGAUAGGUACGGAGAAAGUCAACGUUAAGAUUUUCUUUGAUAGCAGAGAAAGGUCGAUGCCUACCACAAAAGAGACUUGUUAUACGGUAUAUAAUCUUGCUUUAUUUCGGCUAAAGUUGGACAAAAUUUACUAGGAGGGUUUUCAAAUAUUUGAAUGUUAGCGACCACUUCCAUCAAAAAGUUCAACGACUCUACCUGAACAGUUAUCGGUCUCGAUAAGAAAGUCACACAAGCCUAUUAUUGACCCGAAUCCUCGUUUGACGAUAACAAGCUUUCCUUCUUACUUUAACAAGUACACAAUGAAUAGAUCCUACUUUCCAAAAUCUAUUAACAAACAGAUGCAAGUUUGGAAGUGAACCCGUGUUUAACCAACAAAGUGAACCGUAAACAAAGUUUGGAUAGUUUAGGUCUACGGAAUAUUUGAAAAGCUCAAAGUCUUAGUCAACAUUCUGGUGACCAAGUAGAAAGAAGUUUUCUGCAGUUCUGGAGCGCUACAGAAACGCGCGUGAGCCAACAAUUCUGGUACAUAUUGCUAGCCAAAACCUCACAAACCUUUGAUUGAAUCAAUCAAUAGAUUUAACUAAAUAUUUGCGAUGCUUCUUAUUGCUAUCCAAGUAUGUCUGUCUUGUCUGAUUAUCUAUACCAACACAAUAUCAAUACAAAAAUUAACAAAUUG
rnacentral:lncRNA from 1 species